GCCGAGAUAGCUCAGUUGGUAGAGCGAAGGCCUGAAAAGCCUUGCGUCCCCAGUUCAAUUCUGGGUCUCGGCACCA
rnacentral:tRNA from 2 species